rnacentral:rRNA from 1 species
AACGAACGCUGGCGGCAUGCCUAACACAUGCAAGUCGAACGAGAUCUUCGGGUCUAGUGGCGCACGGGUGCGUAACGCGUGGGAAUCUGCCCUUUGGUUCGGAAUAACAGUUGGAAACGACUGCUAAUACCGGAUGAUGACGAAAGUCCAAAGAUUUAUCGCCAGAGGAUGAGCCCGCGUAGGAUUAGCUAGUUGGUGUGGUAAAGGCGCACCAAGGCGACGAUCCUUAGCUGGUCUGAGAGGAUGAUCAGCCACACUGGGACGGGGACACGGGCCAGACUCCUACGGGAGGCAGCAGUGGGGAGUAUUGGACAAUGGGCGAAAGCCUGAUCCAGCAAUGCCGCGUGAGUGAUGGAGGCCUUAGGGUUGUAAAGCUCUUUUACCCGGGAUGAUAAUGACAGUACCGGGAGAAUAAGCUCCGGCUAACUCCGUGCCAGCCGCCGCUGUAA